GCGCGCAUAGCUCAGUUGGUAGAGCUGCGGCCUUUUAAGCCGUAGGUCCAGGGUUCGAGUCCCUGUGCGCGUA
rnacentral:tRNA from 1 species